rnacentral:rRNA from 1 species
UUCGAUCCUGGCUCAGAUUGAACGCUGGCGGGAUGCUUUACACAUGCAAGUCGAACGCAGCACGGACUUCAUCUGGUGGCGAGUGGCGAACGGGUGAGUAAUGUAUCGGAACGUGCCUAGUAGCGGGGAUAACUACGCGAAAGCGUAGCUAAUACCGCAUAUUCUUCGGGGAAAGGACCCUUCGGGCCUCGCACUAUUAGAGCGGCCGAUAUCGGAUUAGCUAGUUGGUGGGGUAACGGCUCACCAAGGCGACGAUCCGUAGCUGGUUUGAGAGGACGACCAGCCACACUGGGACUGGAGACACGGCCCAGACUCCUACGGGAGGCAGCAGUGGGGAAUUUUGGACAAUGGGGAAACCCCUGAUCCAGCCAUCCUUAUGCGAUGAAGGCCUUGCUGAAAGCACUUUUUGGCAGGAAGAACGGUGGUACACGGAUAAUACCCUGCAACUGACGGUACCUGCAGAAUAAGCACCGGCUAAUCGAGCGCCAGCAAACAGCGUAAUACGUAGGGUGCAAGCGUUAAUCGAACACGGGCGUAAAAGCGUGCGCAGGUCUGGAAAGAAAGAUGUGAAAUCCCAGAGCUACUUGAACCUGGUAUUUAACUACUGAGCUAGAGUGUGGCCGAGGAGGUGGAAUUCCGUAUGUAGCAGUGAAAUGCGUAGAUAUGCGGAGAACACUGAUGGCGAAGGGCAGCCUCCGGGAUAACACUGACGCUCAUGCACGAAAGCGUGGGGAGCAAACAGGAUUAGAUAUUCGUGAACUAAUGCCCAAACGAUUAACUAGGCUGUUGGGGCUCCUGGCCUUGCGGUAGCGCAGCCAAUUAUGAAGCUGAAUCGCCUGGGGAGUACGGUCGCAAGAUUAAAACCUAAAGGAAUUGAUUAGAUUCCGUACAAGCGGUGUGAUUAAUUCAGAUAACGCGAAAACCUUACCUACCCUUGACAUGUCUGGAAUCCCGAAGAGAUUUGGGAGUGCUCGCAAGAGAACCAAAACACAGGUGCUGCAUGGCUGUCGUCAGCUCGUGUCGUGAGAUGUUGGGCUAAGUCCGCAACGAGCGCAAACUUUGUCAUGAAGUGGCACAGCGGCACCUUUAACAGGGAUCGCUGGGAAGAACCGAGGAAGGUGGGAUGACGCUGGUCCUCAUGGCCCUUAUGGGUAGGGCUUCACGUCAUGGCAAUGGUCGGGCUUCGAGGGUCGCCAACCCGCGAGGGCUGCAUCCGAAACCCGAUCAGUCCGGAUCGCAGUCGCACCUGAUCGUGCAGAAGCUGGAACUAAGCAGUGGCUCCGUGAUCAGCAUGUUCGGUGAGGUCACGUUCUCGGCCUCGUACACACCGCCCGUCACACCAUGGGAGUGGCUCACCAGAAGUAGUUAGCCUGAAACUGUAGCGAUGAAGGACACUACGGUAGGAUUCACGAUCAAAGUAAGUCGUAACAAGGUAG